AUGUGCAACGAUACGCCUGUAAACAUUGAUUUGAUUUUGGAAGCUAAGCAGGGCCGUGUCUGUUUAGUACUUGGAUUAGAGAACACAAGGUAAUAUUAGGGUUGCCUGAU
rnacentral:rRNA from 1 species